AAAUUGAAGAGUUUGAUCAUGGCUCAGAUUGAACGCUGGCGGCAGGCCUAACACAUGCAAGUCGAACGGUAACAGGAAGCAGCUUGCUGCUUUGCUGACGAGUGGCGGACGGGUGAGUAAUGUCUGGGAAACUGCCUGAUGGAGGGGGAUAACUACUGGAAACGGUGGCUAAUACCGCAUAACGUCGCAAGACCAAAGAGGGGGACCUUCGGGCCUCUUGCCAUCAGAUGUGCCCAGAUGGGAUUAGCUAGUUGGUGAGGUAACGGCUCACCAAGGCGACGAUCCCUAGCUGGUCUGAGAGGAUGACCAGCCACACUGGAACUGAGACACGGUCCAGACUCCUACGGGAGGCAGCAGUGGGGAAUAUUGCACAAUGGGCGCAAGCCUGAUGCAGCCAUGCCGCGUGUAUGAAGAAGGCCUUCGGGUUGUAAAGUACUUUCAGCGGGGAGGAAGGUGUUGUGGUUAAUAACCGCAGCAAUUGACGUUACCCGCAGAAGAAGCACCGGCUAACUCCGUGCCAGCAGCCGCGGUAAUACGGAGGGUGCAAGCGUUAAUCGGAAUUACUGGGCGUAAAGCGCACGCAGGCGGUCUGUCAAGUCGGAUGUGAAAUCCCCGGGCUCAACCCGGGAACUGCAUUCGAAACUGGCAGGCUUGAGUCUUGUAGAGGGGGUAGAAUUCCGGUGUAGCGGUGAAAUGCGUAGAGAUCUGGAGGAAUACCGGUGGCGAAGGCGGCCCCCUGGACAAAGACUGACGCUCAGGUGCGAAAGCGUGGGGAGCAAACAGGAUUAGAUACCCUGGUAGUCCACGCCGUAAACGAUGUCUACUUGGAGGUUGUGCCCUUGAGGCGUGGCUUCCGGAGCUAACGCGUUAAGUAGACCGCACCGGGGAGUACGGCCGCAAGGUUAAAACUCAAAUGAAUUGACGGGGGCCCGCACAAGCGGUGGAGCAUGUGGUUUAAUUCGAUGCAACGCGAAGAACCUUACCUGGUCUUGACAUCCACAGAACUUUCCAGAGAUGGAUUGGUGCCUUCGGGAACUGUGAGACAGGUGCUGCAUGGCUGUCGUCAGCUCGUGUUGUGAAAUGUUGGGUUAAGUCCCGCAACGAGCGCAACCCUUAUCCUUUGUUGCCAGCGGUCCGGCCGGGAACUCAAAGGAGACUGCCAGUGAUAAACUGGAGGAAGGUGGGGAUGACGUCAAGUCAUCAUGGCCCUUACGACCAGGGCUACACACGUGCUACAAUGGCGCAUACAAAGAGAAGCGACCUCGCGAGAGCAAGCGGACCUCAUAAAGUGCGUCGUAGUCCGGAUUGGAGUCUGCAACUCGACUCCAUGAAGUCGGAAUCGCUAGUAAUCGUGGAUCAGAAUGCCACGGUGAAUACGUUCCCGGGCCUUGUACACACCGCCCGUCACACCAUGGGAGUGGGUUGCAAAAGAAGUAGGUAGCUUAACCUUCGGGAGGGCGCUUACCACUUUGUGAUUCAUGACUGGGGUGAAGUCGUAACAAGGUAACCGUAGGGGAACCUGCGGUUGGAUCACCUCCUUA
rnacentral:rRNA from 1 species